rnacentral:lncRNA from 1 species
GGGCCUGUUUCCUGGAUGGCAUCGGGACACCAAAGGGGUGAUAAUGCCAUGUUCAAAGCCUCAGAGGGAAAAAGAUGAUCCUGAAGGUAAGAGUUCUUUACCCUUCCUCAAGAACUGUUUAUAAAAAUGCAAGAAAAAACUUAUUUUCCUAACAAGUUCCGGAGAAAUCCAGCAUCCCUCUUUUCCUCUCCAAGGGCGGUGUCUUGAAAGCAGGUAUGCAGUGCCCUGGCCCACCUUCCCCACACUGCCUAAUGCCCAUGUAGCCAACGCUGAAGCCAAAGAACACUACUCUUCUUUUAAACCACGUCGCAUGCUCUGAGAAUGCAGUUGCACCCUGGCAUCCAGGACAGAGGUCACCAUUAGCCUUUGCAGGUGCCACUGAGCAGGCCCAACACAGGAGGCAGGUGCUCCUGCACCAUCCCAGUGAAUUCCAGCACACGGGAGGCUCCACCCUCAAGACAUGAAGACGGGAAGCCAAGGAGGCUCUGUAGUUCACAGCGUUGGUCUCAGUUUUCAGUUCAAUUCCAUUUCAUCAGGGAAAGCA